AACGAACGCUGGCGGCAUGCCUAACACAUGCAAGUCGAACGAGACCUUCGGGUCUAGUGGCGCACGGGUGCGUAACGCGUGGGAACCUGCCCUUAGGUUCGGAAUAACUCCCCGAAAGGGGCGCUAAUACCGGAUAAUGUCUUCGGACCAAAGAUUUAUCGCCUUUGGAUGGGCCCGCGUUGGAUUAGCUAGUUGGUAGGGUAAAAGCCUACCAAGGCGACGAUCCAUAGCUGGUCUGAGAGGAUGAUCAGCCACACUGGGACUGAGACACGGCCCAGACUCCUACGGGAAGCAGCAGUGGGGAAUAUUGGACAAUGGGCGAAAGCCUGAUCCAGCAAUGCCGCGUGAGUGAUGAAGGCCUUAGGGUUGUAAAGCUCUUUUACCCGGGAUGAUAAUGACAGUACCGGGAGAAUAAGCUCCGGCUAACUCCGUG
rnacentral:rRNA from 1 species